CGGCAGGGGCUGGGUCUCGCGAGCGUGGAGAUCAACGGACGUUGGUCGCUUCUCGGGGUCCUUCCGACCUUCUGAACUGGGGGUAUCGGUUGGGGCGGGAGUGAGAGGUGUUGAUGAAAUCUACUUCGAGGGUGUCCCCUUCUGCCUUCGUUAUACAGGAGAAUUUCACUUGUGGCUUUUGUGAGAAUUGCUGAGGGCCUGCUAGGACCAUUGCCUGUGGGGUGGCCACACAGCCUCUACUAAAUGUCCUCCCACCAGGGGAACUGCCCCUCCUCAUGUGGCCCAAGAAUCUCCUGGACUCUACUCCACUCCUGGAGAUUUGCCCUUCCUACCAGAGCACUGCCAGAUCAAAAGUUUCAACUUAAAGCCAAAGAGACCACUGCAAAGCAGAAUAAACUUUGGGAAAAACUUCUGUCAGGAAAAGGGUAAGGCUCCCGAACGCCUCUCUCCUGAGGGUGCAUUGCUGGUUCUCUGCUGGGGUUGCUGUGACACAGAAUAGCAUAACCACAAGGGGAGACACUUGGGACCAAUGACCUUCACCCAGAAGACUAUGUUUCUGAGUCAGAGAGUCUCUGAGUAUCAUGAAUUUGCAGAACAUUCUAAACCAAUUUCAGUAUUUAUUUGUGGAGAGUUCCCACAGGUAAACAUAUCCAUUAAUAUUACUUAGUGAAUGUUGACACAUAAUUCAGUUUUUGUUUAAAAUUAAAAAAAAAAUGUUUAUUUAUGUUUGAGAGACAGAGUGUGAGAGGGGGAGAGGCAGAAAGAGAGGGAGACACAGAA